AUCCGCUUUUACAUUUGCACUACG
rnacentral:siRNA from 1 species